AUCACCCAAGCCCCUCGUGACACAUUGAGAAUGCAGCCAUACUAAUAGUAAUUAAUACGUCUUCAACUACGAAUGUUUUUUUGGGCGAUCACCCUAAGCUGGGUCGAAUCUAGAUCUACCACUUUCCAGUCUCUUUUUUCCUCAUUGUCAAAAGAUCUUUAUCCUCUGGUUGGACUCAAGGAUGUGAUACAGAUCUGCAGUCAAGACAUUCAGGCUAGAAGUCCAGAGCCCUACCGUUCCAUGCUAAAAGUUGGUGAUUGAUAUCUUUUCUCACUUCCACCUGUGUUCACAUGUAGCAAUGCUGUUGGCAUGACAGAAAUCAUG